GUUAGGAAUAUUGGGCAAUGGUCGGAAGACUGACCCAGCCAUGCCGCGUGCAGGAAGACGGCCCUCUGGGUUGUAAACUGCUUUUAUCUGGGAAGAAAAAGGCCAUGCGUGGCAAAUUGCCGGUACCAGAUGAAUAAGCACCGGCUAACUCCGUGCCAGCAGCCGCGGUAAUACGGAGGGUGCGAGCGUUGUCCGGAUUUAUUGGGUUUAAAGGGUGCGUAGGCGGCUGAUUAAGUCAGCGGUGAAAGACUUCGGCUUAACCGGAGCAGUGCCGUUGAUACUGGUUGGCUUGAGUGUCGGAGGGGUACAUGGAAUUGAUGGUGUAGCGGUGAAAUGCAUAGAUACCAUCAGGAACACCGAUAGCGAAGGCAUUGUACUGGCCGACAACUGACGCUGAUGCACGAAAGUGUGGGGAUCGAACAGGAUUAGAUACCCCAGUAGUCC
rnacentral:rRNA from 1 species